GAUGAACGCUGGCGGCGUGCCUAAUACAUGCAAGUCGAGCGAACAGAUGAGGAGCUUGCUCCUCUGACGUUAGCGGCGGACGGGUGAGUAACACAUAGAUCACCUACCUAUAAGACUGGGAUAACUUCGGGGGACAAGAGCUGAUACCGGCUAAUAUAUUCAACCGCAUGGUUCAAUAGUGCAAGACGCUUUUGCUGUCACUUAUAGAUGGAUCCGCGCCGCAUUAGCUAGUUGGUAAGGUAACGGCUUACCAAGGCAACGAUGCGUAGCCGACCUGAGAGGGUGAUCGGCCACACUGGAACUGAGACACGGUCCAGACUCCUACGGGAGGCAGCAGUAGGGAAUCUUCCGCAAUGGGCGAAAGCCUGACGGAGCAACGCCGCGUGAGUGAUGAAGGUCUUCGGAUCGUAAAACUCUGUUAUUAGGGAAGAACAAAUGUGUAAGUAACUAUGCACGUCUUGACGGUACCUAAUCAGAAAGCCACGGCUAACUACGUG
rnacentral:rRNA from 1 species